UUCCGCAUUUCAGUGACGUCAGGCGCAAUCGUCCUAUCCGGACGCGUAGCGGAUUGUUGCGCGCCGACGUUGGGCACGUCGAGUGGCACGUGGGCCAUCGGGCAGGUCCCGCGCAUGCGCACAGUCGGCCGUCGGUCCUCCUGCGCAGGCGCGGUGCCGUCGGGCGGGGCGGUUCCGGGUGCGGCUGCGGCAGCGGGGAUCGGAUCGCAGCGGCCAUGGCGGCGGCGACAGCGGCGGCCCCGGCGGGGCCCGGCCCGGUGCCGGGGGCGCCCAAGCUGGGGGUGGAGUCAGUGAAGGGGCAGGUGUUCGACGUGGGGCCGCGCUACACGGAGCUGCAGUACAUCGGGGAGGGGGCGUACGGCAUGGUCUGCUCGGCCUACGACCACGUGAACAAGAUCCGGGCGGCCAUCAAGAAGAUCAGCCCCUUCGAGCACCAGACCUACUGUCAGCGCACCCUGCGCGAGAUCAAAAUCCUGCUUCGCUUCCGGCACGAGAACAUCAUCGGGAUCAACGACAUCCUGCGGGCCGCAGCCAUCGACCACAUGCGCGACGUGUACAUCGUGCAGGACCUGAUGGAGACCGACCUGUACAAGCUACUGAAGACGCAGCAGCUGAGCAAUGACCACAUCUGCUACUUCCUGUACCAGAUUUUGCGCGGCCUCAAGUACAUCCACUCGGCCAACGUGCUGCACCGCGACCUCAAGCCCAGCAACCUGCUCAUCAACACCACCUGUGAUCUCAAGAUCUGUGACUUUGGUCUGGCCCGGAUCGCUGACCCAGAGCAUGACCACACUGGCUUCUUGACGGAGUAUGUGGCCACCCGCUGGUACCGCGCCCCCGAGAUCAUGCUCAACUCCAAGGGCUACACCAAAUCCAUCGACAUCUGGUCAGUGGGCUGCAUCCUGGCGGAGAUGCUGUCCAACCGGCCCAUCUUCCCCGGCAAGCACUACCUGGACCAGCUCAACCACAUCCUGGGGAUCCUGGGGUCUCCCUCGCAGGACGACCUGAACUGUAUCAUCAACAUGAAGGCGCGGAAUUACCUGCAGUCGCUGCCCCAGAAGGCUAAGGUCCCCUGGCCCAAGCUGUUCCCCAAGGCUGACCCCAAAGCCCUCGACCUGCUGGACAAGAUGUUGACCUUUAACCCCAACAAGCGCAUCACUGUGGAGGAGUCGCUGGCUCACCCCUACCUGGAGCAGUACUACGACCCCUCGGAUGAGGUGGGGGUCCGCAGAUGCCUGGGUCCCCUCCCCAGAGCUGGGGGGAAUGGGCUCUGGUGGUUAGAGCAGGGGGCCUGGGAGCCAGGACUCCUGGGUUCUGCCUGUGGCACAGGGUGGGGAGUGGGCUUCUUUCCCCAGCGCUGGGUGGGGGUUGGCCCCAGACACCGCAGCUCACUGUCCCCUGCUCUCUUUGAAGCCGGUGGCUGAAGAGCCCUUCACUUUCGACAUGGAGCUUGACGACCUGCCCAAGGAGAAGCUGAAGGAGCUGAUCUUCGAGGAGACGGCCCGGUUCCAGCCGGGCUACCAGGGGCCGUGAGCGCUGGUCCGUCACGCUCCAGCCUAGACCUGCCUCCCUCUGAAAAGGUUUCGGACCUGGCCCCUGCGCCCGGAGCGCCCCUCGGACUCUGACUGGGGGGCUAGGGGCCCUGCCCAAGGGGGCCAGCCCUGCCAUUGUGCUGUAUAACUGCUUCGCAAUGUGGCUGUGACUCCUUAACCCCCCCAGGCUGUGCCUCUGGGGGGGCCUGGCGGGGGGACCCCAGUGCUCCCUGAUUCCUGGAUGUGGAGGGGGAAUCUCUCCUGCUUUGUAUCUAAUGAGUUAACAAUUGUAAUUAGCCCCUGCCUGCUGCUGGGAAUGUGUGUGUGUGUGGGGGGGAGGCUGGGGGUACUCCCUUAGGAGUUCCUGUUGCCCCCCAGUUCCUGUCUGUGUCAUGGGGGGGCAGGGCUGCUCCUCCCGUAGGGGGAUAUUUGUGCCCACCCAGCUAAUAUUUGUGCGUUGGGGUGGGGCUGGGAGCAGGUCCAGCCCCCUCCCCUUCCUUCCCUGCCUGCUCUAAUCUGGCAGGGAUAGGGGAGAAUUUCUCCUGCUGCCCCUGGCCUGGGUGUGAAGUGAUGAGCCUGGGCUGGUGGCUCCCCUGGGGGGAAAAGAACCCCCGAAGUCCAGGGGAGGUCAGGGGUGGGCAGAGAUUUGUAUUUUCAGUCCUCCCCCCACCUGGGGGUGCCAUCUUCGUUCAAAGGGCUACGGCAGCACCUGAUGCCUCCUCCUGGAGACCCCCAACAGACCUGCACAUGAACCUCUGAACCUGGGCUCUCCACCCCCACCCCCAAACCCACUGACAACACUCCCUCCCAGAGCCAGGAGAGAACCCUGGAGUCCUGGCUCCCAGCCCCCACUCCCCUCCCAGAGCUGGAAGAGAACCCCAGAGUCCUGGCUCCCAGCCCCCCCUGCUCUAACCUACCAGCCCCCACUCGCCUCCCAGAGCCGGGGAUAGAACCCUGGUGUCCUGGCUCCCAGCCCCCACUCCAAUGAAAGACUGGAUCUGAAGGAUCCUGUAGUUUGGUGUAGGGGCCCCUGGGAGCUCAUCCUCCUGGGUUCUACACCUCCCCCACCCCCAUCUGUGCCUCAGUUUCCCUGUAUGAUUGGCUGCCAACCUGUCUGUAAUGUGGGCUGAUCACUAGUCCUCCCUGCCCCACCAGCCACAGCCUCCUCAUGUGUGGGGGGGCCCCACUGGCAGCCUGCCCCCAAGUGGAGGAAGCUGGGGUAUUGUCCUGCCCCUUGGGUUGGAAUUGCCUGGGCUCUGGUGCCCCUGCUAUGGAACUGUACAGACACCCCCCCCCCCAAAUAAACCCUUCUGGAUC